rfam:TPA: Bos taurus chromosome 6, whole genome shotgun sequence.
UCCCUGGUGGUCCAGUGGUCUGCGCUUCCAAUGCAGAGGGCCUGGGUUCAAUCCCUAGUCAGGGAA